CGAUCAAUAAUACUACUAGAUUCGCGAUUAGCGCUUCAAAAGCGGCCCGAAAAAUAAGACCACAAAUAAAUUUGUGGUCUUAUUUCAAAUUAGUAUGGUCCAAUCAUAGCCAACACUAAGACGUCAAAACGCUGCAAUGCGCGUUCAAAAACUGAGUAAAAAACCACCGUAACACCAAGGUUUUGGAAGGAAUAUCUUUUUUUGAUUUCCUAGUAGCCCCUUGUCGCUGUGCACAAUGGAUAUAUAUUGUUGCGAAAGAAAGAGGAGAAGAAAUAUAGAACUCUUAUAAAAAUUCUAGAAUUGUUCAAUGGUGGUGGCAAAUCAAUGCAAAAAAGUAUUAAAAAAACUUUAUAUGUAUGUGUAAAUAUUUUAAGCGUAUAUGCUGAAAAGGAUUUGUUUUCUGGGGGAAACGAACACAGCCAUAAAAUAAGCCUAAAUUAAACUGAUUAUAGAAAAAUUCAUUGAUAUAUUAUAAGAUUACAUUAUAUUUGUAAAAAAGAAACCGCUCAUAUAAAAAUGACUUCUAAAAGACAGCUUUAUAACAAACUGAAUCUGUUUAAAGGUAAUUAAACCUACAUUAUUGUUUUAAUUACUUCUGUAUAAAGAAUACGUGGAAAACAUGUUUCGUGUUUCCUUUCAUAUUUUUUUUACUUUAUUCAAUUUUAUUUUUUAUCACCUAUUUGUUGUAAUAGCGGCAAUGUAAAAUAUUAUCUACUACUUUUUUGAAUCGGUCAAAAAUAGUUGCGACCAUACAAAACAAACCUAAAACAAAUAUGUAUAUUCUGCAACUCUAUGUCUUUCAAUACUUACUGUGUUCUGAGCAUUGAAAUGUAAUACCAAGAACUACAUCUAGUUUCACAAUAUAAUAAGCACGAAAUUUUAAACAAAUAUUUUUAACCUUAUAAAUUAGGCUUUAAGUAUCAUUUUAGAAUAAAUAUUUUUGUACUGAUGAUUUUUUAUGUUCAAGUGACAUUUUAAAUUUAUUCCAUAAUAUUCUUUUUCUGACGAAAGGACCUAAAUACAUAUAUUUUGCAAUGGUAAUUAAACUUUAUGUUUAAGUAUUAAGGUUUAUAAUAAACUGAAGUCGUUAACAUUAUUAAA